GAAUUUUGGACAAUGGGCGCAAGCCUGAUCCAGCAAUGCCGCGUGAGUGAAGAAGGCCUUCGGGUUGUAAAGCUCUUUUGUCAGGGAAGAAACGGUGGGAGCUAAUAUCUCCCACUAAUGACGGUACCUGAAGAAUAAGCACCGGCUAACUACGUGCCAGCAGCCGCGGUAAUACGUAGGGUGCAAGCGUUGAGCGGAAUUACUGGGCGUAAAGCGUGCGCAGGCGGUUUUGUAAGUCUGAUGUGAAAUCCCCGGGCUCAACCUGGGAAUUGCAUUGGAGACUGCAAGGCUAGAAUCUGGCAGAGGGGGGUAGAAUUCCACGUGUAGCAGUGAAAUGCGUAGAGAUGUGGAGGAACACCGAUGGCGAAGGCAGCCCCCUGGGUCAAGAUUGACGCUCAUGCACGAAAGCGUGGGGAGCAAACAGG
rnacentral:rRNA from 1 species